rnacentral:rRNA from 1 species
ACACUCCUGCGGGAGGCAGCAGUGGGGAAUUUUGGACAAUGGGCGAAAGCCUGAUCCAGCAAUGCCGCGUGAGUGAAGAAGGCCUUCGGGUUGUAAAGCUCUUUUGUCAGGGAAGAAACGGUGAGAGCUAAUUUCUCUUGCUAAUGACGGUACCUGAAGAAUAAGCACCGGCUAACUACGUGCCAGCAGCCGCGGUAAUACGUAGGGUGCAAGCGUUAAUCGGAAUUACUGGGCGUAAAGCGUGCGCAGGCGGUUUUGUAAGUCUGAUGUGAAAUCCCCGGGCUCAACCUGGGAAUUGCAUUGGAGACUGCAAGGCUAGAAUCUGGCAGAGGGGGGUAGAAUUCCACGUGUAGCAGUGAAAUGCGUAGAUAUGUGGAGGAACACCGAUGGCGAAGGCAGCCCCCUGGGUCAAGAUUGACGCUCAUGCACGAAAGCGUGGGGAGCAAACAGGAUGAGAAACCCCGGUAGUCCCAU